AACGCACAUUGCGCCCCUUGGUAUUCCAUGGGGCAUGCCUGUUCGAGCGUCAUUUGUACCUUCAAGCUUUGCUUGGUGUUGGGUGUUUGUCCCGCGUUGCGCGUGGACUCGCCUUAAAGCGAUUGGCAGCCGGCAUAUUGGCCUUGGAGCGCAGCACAAUUUGCGCUUCUGGUCAUGAAUGUUGGCGUCCAUUAAGCCUAUUACAUUUGCUCUUGACCUCGGAUCAGGUAGGGAUACCCGCUGAACUUAA
rnacentral:misc_RNA from 1 species